CAGAUUACUACUUUUUACAAAAUAGAUCUCCAGAUUUACCCAGCAGCACCAGACCAUAUUACUACUUUUUACAAAAUAGAUCUCCGGAUUUACCCAUAAUGUGGCAUCAGAUACACAAAAUAAAAAUCAUCGUAAGAACUUUACGGAAUACAGACGCGCGGAUCAUAUCGUUCUACCAGCAAGAUCCAUAAUCAUUGGCCAGUAGCUUAUAUAUUAAACAGGAUCCGAUUCCUAGCAAAAUUGUGUACACAGACACUUGAUAUUAGCUUCCAAUCUUAAAGCUAAAAAAUGAUAGAAUGAAUGCGCAGAUUAAUCAAAACAGGAGAGGGAAGAAAACCUAAUCUCGCAGAUGAAGGCAAUGCCCUUGUGCACCCAGUAGUUCAGUGUUGCGACUGCGAAAUCCAGCCCCAACGGCCCUUUGACCUACAGAAAAAUGAACAACGAACUCACCACCACCACCUCUGCACACCUCCCCAUGUUCCAGCCAACCAGAACAAUAGCGCUGCUAAUGCAGACAAUAACAAUCCAUUGAUGUGGGUGCAUGCGUGGUUGAGGGCUGAUUUUGGAAUGGGGGCGGGGAAGGGGCUGCAGUGCGUGCCAUGUCAGUCAAAUAUGG
rnacentral:misc_RNA from 1 species